rnacentral:rRNA from 1 species
GAUGAACGCUGGCGGCGUGCUUAACACAUGCAAGUCGAACGAGAAAUGGAGACGGAAACCUUCGGGCGGAAGGCUUCAUUUCGAGUGGCGGACGGGUGAGUAACGCGUUGGUAACCUGCCUCAUACAGGGGGAUAACAGUUGGAAACGACUGUUAAUACCGCAUAAGACCACAGCACCGCAUGGUGCGGGGGUAAAAACUCCGGUGGUAUGAGAUGGACCCGCGUUCGAUUAGCCAGUUGGCGGGGUAACGGCCCACCAAAGCGACGAUCGAUAGCCGAUCUGAGAGGAUGACCGGCCACAUUGGGACUGAGACACGGCCCAAACUCCUACGGGAGGCAGCAGUGGGGAAUAUUGCACAAUGGGGGAAACCCUGAUGCAGCGACGCCGCGUGAGUGAAGAAGUACUUCGGUAUGUAAAGCUCUAUCAGCAGGGAAGAAAAUGACGGUACCUGAGUAAGAAGCCCCGGCUAACUACGUG